GACGAACGCUGGCGGCGUGCUUAACACAUGCAAGUCGAACGGUGAAGCGCCUUCCUUUUUGGUGGGUGUGGAUGAGUGGCGAACGGGUGAGUAACACGUGAGUAACCUGCCCCCUUCUUCUGGAUAACCGCAUGAAAGUGUGGCUAAUACGGGAUAUUCUGGGUCUGUCGCAUGAUGGGUCUGGGAAAGAUAUUGUUUCGGUGGGGGAUGGGCUCGCGGCCUAUCAGCUUGUUGGUGGGGUGAUGGCCUACCAAGGCGGUGACGGGUAGCCGGCCUGAGAGGGUGGACGGUCACACUGGGACUGAGACACGGCCCAGACUCCUGCGGGAGGCAGCAGUGGGGAAUAGUGCACAAUGGGCGCAAGCCUGAUGCAGCGACGCCGCGUGAGGGAUGGAGGCCUUCGGGUUGUGAACCUCUUUCGCCAGUGAAGCAGGCCUGCCUCGUUUGUGGGUGGGUUGACGGUAGCUGGAUAAGAAGCGCCGGCUAACUACGUG
rnacentral:rRNA from 1 species